rnacentral:rRNA from 1 species
CUACGGGUUGCACCAGCUGCGAAUUUUUUACAAUGCACGAAAGUGUGAUAAAGCGAACCAAAGUGCUUAUCGUAUAGAUAAGCUUUUCUUCAGAGUAAAAAUCUGGAGGAAUAAGGACUGGGAAAGAUCGGUGCCAGCCGCCGCGGUAAUACCGACAGUUCAAGUGGCAUCCAACUUUAUUGGGUCUAAAACAUCCGUAGCUUGCUAUUUAAGUCUCUUGUGAAAUCCAAUGUCUCAAGCAUUGGGCUGGCGGGAGAUACUGAAUAGCUAGAGAUCGGUAGGCGUAAGGAGUACGGGCAAGGUAGUGGUAAAAUACGUUAAUCUUGCUUGGACUAACAAUUUAGCGAAGGCACCUUACGAGGACGAAUCUGACAGUGAGGGAUGAAGGCCAGGGGCGCAAAACGGAUUAGAUACCCGUGUAGUC